rnacentral:rRNA from 1 species
CCUACGGAAGGCAGCAGUGAGGAAUAUUGGUCAAUGGGCGCGAGCCUGAACCAGCCAAGUAGCGUGAAGGAUGACUGCCCUACGGGUUGUAAACUUCUUUUAUAAAGGAAUAAAGUGAGGCACGUGUGCCUUUUUGCAUGUACUUUAUGAAUAAGGAUCGGCUAACUCCGUGCCAGCAGCCGCGGUAAUACGGAGGAUCCGAGCGUUAUCCGGAUUUAUUGGGUUUAAAGGGAGCGUAGGUGGGUUGUUAAGUCAGUUGUUAAAGUUUGCGGCUCAACCGUCAAAUUGCAGUUGAAACUGGCAGUCUUGAGUACAGUAGAGGUGGGCGGAAUGCGUGGUGUAGCGGUGAAAUGCUUAGAUAUCACGAAGAACUCCGAUUGCGAAGGCAGUUCACUGGACUGCAACUGACACUGAGGCUCGAAAGUGUGGGUAUCAAACAGGAUUAGAUACCCGAGUAGUC